UUACUUUCGGGGGGUGGUUACUUUCGGAAGUUUACGGCAACAGAAUAUAUAAAUAAUAGCCUCCAGCAAAAAGAUGUUAAAAACCGGACCUCUUGUUUUUUCUCUCCUGCCAAUAAUCCCAAAGCCCGUUCUGACUGAGUUUCUUCGAUCCUCAAUUGUCGAGCCUGCUACUACAUUUUCAAAAAACCAUUUAAACACAAUUUCUCCCGGAUUUUCCCUUAUUCCCUUUGUUUAUAUAAACCGCCCAGUUCUCAACAGUGGAUGAUAUUGUGUGACAGGAAGUGGCCUUUUGAUCCCGGGCUUUUGAUUCCUUUUCAAGCUUUUUCAUUGCGCGCCUCUAUGUCUCCUUUCGUUAAUUCUUCCUGUCUGCCAGUUCACAGUUUCUGAAAGAGCUGGCCAAAACCAUGCUGAAGUUUUCACCACCACCCCUUCACCAAUAACCAGGCAAUAUUAUUUCUGCUGUGUUUAUCUGUCUUUUUCGUCUGCGUGACCUGUACGUGACUACGGAAACACUUCUUCAUUGACAAGGUGGGAAGAGGGAUGAACUGGGGCGAGUGGAUGUAAAACAUCAAAGUGCCUCAAAAUUGUCUAAUUUUGUGCGUAUUAGCGUGGGUUUCUCCAAAUGAUGAAUACCAGAUCCUAAACGAAGAGACAAGGAGAAGGAAGUGGCUAGGACACUUAAUCUUGUGAAUUAACUUCAGCACGGACAGGCAGAUAUUUCUCAAAGGACUUGUUUGAACACCUAUCUCGUGUGGAACACUUAAUCACGAAGAAAUAUUGUGCUGACCUACACAACUAUGGAUUCAAAAACUAAAAUAUCUUCAUUUGACGCUGGCGAAACUUCGCAAAAAUUCAAGUGGUUUCGCUUCUGGGGAGGGAAAUGUCCCGUUAAUUAGAUAUCUACAGAGACAA
rnacentral:lncRNA from 1 species